GGGGUUGUGGCUCAGAGGUAGAGCACUCGCCUAGCAUGUGGGAGGCACUGGGUUUGAACCUCAGCACCACA
rnacentral:tRNA from 1 species